GGAUGGAAGAUGACACCCUUGUCUGCAUUCCUUGGAAAAUCUGAAUAAAAUGAGUGAGAACGCUGUACCGUCUCCUCAUCGAAACUGAGUUC
ensembl:snoRNA SNORD116 Small nucleolar RNA SNORD116